rnacentral:rRNA from 1 species
UAAGGAAUAUUGCGCAAUGGACGAAAGUCUGACGCAGCGACGCCGCGUGGGGGAUGAAGGUCUUCGGAUUGUAAACCCCUUUCGGGAGGGAAGAUGGAGUGGGUAACCACUUGGACGGUACCUCCAGAAGCAGCCACGGCUAACUCCGUGCCAGCAGCCGCGGUAAGACGGAGGGCGCAAGCGUUGUUCGGAAUUACUGGGCGUAAAGCGCGGGCAGGCGGUCUGUUAAGUCGUUUGUGAAAAUCCGGGGCUCAACCCCGGAAAUGCAUACGAUACUGGCAGGCUGGAGACUGGUAGAGGCUAGCGGAAUUCCUGGUGUAGCGGUGGAAUGCGUAGAUAUCAGGAAGAACACCUGUGGCGAAGGCGGCUAGCUGGGCCAGUUCUGACGCUGAUCCGCGAAAGCGUGGGGAGCAAACAGGAUUAGAUACCCAAGUAGUCCCUGAGCGGGCUGGCAAGGCGCAU